rnacentral:rRNA from 1 species
AUUAUUUUAGAGCUUUACAUUGUAAGUAAAUAAUAAUUACGAAAGCAAAAAAUUAUGGCGGUAUUUUAAGCUUUUCAGAGGAAUUUGCUCUUUAAUGGAUAAAACACCUAAAUCUUACUUAAAUUUGUUAAAUCAAUUUGUAUACCACUAUUAAAUUAAUUAAUAAUUUUAAUUUAUAAAAUUUAUAUAAAUUUAAAAAAAAUUAAGUCAAGGUGCAGUAAAAAUUUAAGAAUGAAGUGAAUUACAUUUCUUUUAAGAGAUUAUUUAAAUUAAAAAUUUAAUUUAGGAUUUGAAAGUAAAAUUAAAAUAGAAUGUUAAUUUGAAUUGAGCUCUAAAAUAUGUAC